ACCCAGCUAUCUCAGUCGGUGGAGCAUAUGACUCUUGAUCUUGGGAUUGUGAGUUCAAGCCCCACACUGGGUG
rnacentral:tRNA from 1 species